rnacentral:rRNA from 1 species
AUAGAAAUUCUUUUUUUUUAUACAGAGGGGGGAUGACGGUACCGGAAGAAUAAGCACCGGUUAAUUACNUGCCAGCAGCCGNGUUAAUAGGUAGGGNGCAAGCGUUANUUGGAAUUACUGGGNGUAAAGCGUGCGCNGGCGGUUNGNUAAGACNGAUGUGAAAUCCCCGGGCUUAACCUGGGAACUGCAUUGGUGACUGGCGGGCUAGAGUAUGGCAGAGGGGGGUAGAAUUCCACGUGUAGCAGUGAAAUGCGUAGAGAUGUGGAGGAAUACCGAUGGCGAAGGCAGCCCCCUGGGCCAAUACUGACGCUCAUGCACGAAAGCGUGGGGAGCAAACAGGAUUAGAUACCCUGGUAGUCCACGCCCUAAACGAUGUCAACUAGUUGUCGGG